rnacentral:rRNA from 1 species
GACGAACGCUGGCGGCGUGCCUAAUACAUGCAAGUCGAACGCUUUUUCUUUCACCGGAGCUUGCUCCACCGAAAGAAAAAGAGUGGCGAACGGGUGAGUAACACGUGGGUAACCUGCCCAUCAGAAGGGGAUAACACUUGGAAACAGGUGCUAAUACCGUAUAACACUAUUUUCCGCAUGGAAGAAAGUUGAAAGGCGCUUUUGCGUCACUGAUGGAUGGACCCGCGGUGCAUUAGCUAGUUGGUGAGGUAACGGCUCACCAAGGCAACGAUGCAUAGCCGACCUGAGAGGGUGGUCGGCCACCCUGGGACUGAGACACGGCCCAGACUCCUACGGGAGGCAGCAGUAGGUAAUCUUCGGCAAUGGACGAAAGUCUGCCCGAGCAACGCCGCGUGAGUGAAGAAGGUUUUCGGAUCGUAAAACUCUGUUGUUAGAGAAGAACAAGGAUGAGAGUAAAAUGUUCAUCCCUUGACGGUAUCUAACCAGAAAGCCACGGCUAACUACGUGCCAGCCGCCGCGGUAA